rnacentral:rRNA from 1 species
CAGCAGCCGCGGUAAAACAGAGGGUGCGAGCGUUAAUCGGAUUUACUGGGCGUAAAGCGUGCGUAGGCGGCUUUUUAAGUCGGAUGUGAAAUCCCUGAGCUUAACUUAGGAAUUGCAUUCGAUACUGGGAAGCUAGAGUAUGGGAGAGGAUGGUAGAAUUCCAGGUGUAGCGGUGAAAUGCGUAGAGAUCUGGAGGAAUACCGAUGGCGAAGGCAGCCAUCUGGCCUAAUACUGACGCUGAGGUACGAAAGCAUGGGGAGCAAACAGGAUUAGAGACCCGAGUAGUCCCUGUCUCUUAUAU